UUAUGUCAGUUUUGAGCAGUCAAAUCAUUCUGUAUAUCCGGACUUGAUAGCCUCAGAACAAAAUACCUAAGUACCUGUCUUAUUUUCUUAUUAAAAACAGCAUAAAUGAUUCUCAGCAGCUUAGACUGAUAAAUAUAGUUGGGCAAAACGGUGGCUUUCUUAAAAAUAUAUGUGUAAUCUUUACUUCUGUUUUAAAGCGGGCAUUCUUGUUAUCAACAAUCUCAUAAAUUUCUACAGCAACUUCCAAGUUAUUUUGUAAAGUGGUCAAAGCAAUCUCUUACAAAAUAAACCAACAACUUUCUAAUACAGAAUGUUGAGAUUGCAUGUGGCUGUCCCACAGGUACCUACUGCGGUCAGUGACCUGUAUGCAAUUAAUUUAAUUACUAAAAUGAAUAAAUACGACAACUUUCUAAAAUAGGAGGGUAGGUGCGUUAGAGUAAGGCCUUUUCAAUAAAAAGCAGCACUUUAUUUUGGAAAAACGGCAACAAACCGCAUCCUUUGCGACAGCCCUAUCUCCGGCAGUUCUGAACUGCAAUUAUAAAUAACCUGAAUAAAAAGGCUACUUAUACCUAUAAUUACGAAUCCUCUGCAUUUAUCGAACAAUUUAACCGCUACACACACCCACCGCAACGAUAAAACUGUCCGUCAACUUACAUAAAAUAGUCUUAUUGAGUCAUUAUCGAAGCUCAUAUCCUUACUUCCUUAUUUUUUCGCUCAUCAACAAUUGGCCAUCAAUAGCCGCCGCAUGUAAUUACAACACUCGGUACAAGUUGUAGCGAGUUCAAUGAGCUGCCGGUGUGCCAAGUGGCUAGUAGCGAGUCUAGUGUGUGUGUGUAUCCGAACUUGACCCGUGACUUUUGCAAGCGGCCGCCAUCCCUCCCCGGCGCGGCGUCGGCGGCGCGGGCGCACGCAGCGAGCGCAAACACUACCGCACCCACAGCUGAGCCGCACGCGUCUCCACCAUGUUCCCGAACCCCUUCGACAGGAAACACUCCACCCUGAGGCAGGCCCUGGACCGCCUGCUCAACCGGGAGCCCAAGCUCAGAGACAGAAAUGCCCUCUCCAGGAAAUCCAGCAACACCUCCGCGUUCUCCCGAACAUCCAAUGGAAGCGCAUCCUCCGAGACUAAGAGGAUCUUCGAGGCGCUGCUGCUCCGCCGGUCCUGAGGGCGGCUGCCAGGAGUGAAGGAUACAAUCUGAUGAACUCUUGAAAAGGACAGUUUCAGUGAUUAUCAGUUCCUAGUGCCAGUUACGAUGAUAAUGGAUGUUGGGGCCGCUGGUCUCUAGUCAACUCGGACGAAGCUGAUCAUGCACUACAAAAUCGGUGUGACAAAUGCGUUCGAGACCCGACUCAGCGGCGCAGCCUAUUAGGAAUAUACCACAGGAAUUAUGAAAGACUCCUCCUUAGUUAUUUAUUAUAAUACAUAAUCGGCAUAUAAUUAUUGAGGUAUAUUUUUGCAUAGUAUGGUAAUCGAUCUUUAUUUAACGUUUAAGUUUAUUUUUUGUUUACUUACUUACAUAAGUACUAAUCACGCCAAAUAUUAUUUUAUGUUAGUUAAUUAUAAGUUAGUUUCUUACUCAUUGUUAAGUAAAGAUGCUUGGAAAGAAAUAGAAUAGCUAGUAGUACUUUGCAAUAAAAAAUAAAAGUAACCAGUGAUGUUAAUUCGACCCUCGUAAAGUAGGUACUUAGAGUCUGUACCUACUUAAAAACUGAACAUUAGGUACCAUUACUGAAUUGAAGGGUUCUGGAAUAUGUGAUUGUUUUUAAUUAUAUGCACCGGCUAUUUGAGAAGGACACUCGCAUAAAUUAGUAAUAUUAAUAUUCAGAAUCUAACUACAUACUUAGUAACUAGCUGAAUUCAUAAUACAUAAUAGUACGUUGUUACCCAAGGGAUUUAAUUUUCAGAUAUAUAUAAAAAAGUCUUUCAGAGCAAGAAUAACGAAAAAUUAUGAACAUUAGAAAAUACAUGCUUAGUUCUUACCUAAUUUGUAGCAAGUGUACCUAAGUAUGUACAGAACGGGGAGUAUCAAUGUACCAAUGAAAUUGCAUAAUAACUACCUAUGUAUUUACGCCAUUGAAAGCUUUAAAUAUGGCCUAAUAUAAUUUUAAGAAAAUAUAAAACACUUCCUAAUAAAUUGCAGGCUUUUUUAAUGUGUUAAUUUUUAAUAAAAAUUUAACAAUUA